rnacentral:lncRNA from 1 species
AAUAAAGAAAGUAACUAAACCCUAAGCUAAAAAGAUGAUAAAAGUUAAAGAAUGUAAAACUAUGUAUUUCUCUCAGCCAAAAGAUAACUUUUCAGCUUAUUACAACCCAAUUUUUGUGACCAAAAUAUCCCUCAAUGUCUAAUUUUGAUUGGUGUUGAGGUUGGACAAUGACUACCGCUACAGUAAUUUUUUGUCUCCACUUGACAGGAGUAUUACAAUACCUAGGCUCCAGUAUUAUGAUACCCACGGUAGUCUUGGCAUGGGGGAACCUGGGGGUCUCGGUUUCACGAUACCCAUGGUUGGUAUCGCGAUACCACUAAAGAUGGCCUCAAUUCUUCUCGUUUCAACACCAUCAAGGGUAUCACAAUUUUCAUGCUUCGAUAUCUGUCACGAAAUUAAUCGAUGAUGUGCGAGUGUACACAGUCAUCAACAAGUAAUAAAGUAGUAAGUAAAGAGUAUUGUCUCCAUAGGGAUUGUAUAUGUGAGGCAAAUAUUGUGAAAUUAUCAAAUGGCAAGUUGGUGAAACAAAUAAUUAAAUGUGAAUUUAGUUUACUGAUUAACCUAAUUUAAAUCUCUAAA